CUAAAUCACGGUUUGGAGGCUUGCAUGGUGCCACAGCUAAGCCAAACGUGAAUGUGGUUAGGAAAGCUGUUCAGCCCCCUUCCAGCCCUGCUACGGCCUCUGUGAGGACCACCUCCCCUUUCUCCCAGCCCCCUUCCAGCCCUGCUACGGCCUCUGUGUGGACCACCUCCCCUUUCUCCCAGCCCCCUUCCAGCCCUGCUACGGCCUCUGUGAGGACCACCUCCCCUUUCUCCCAGCCCCCUUCCAGCAAUGCCAUGGCCUCUGUGAGGACCUCCGCCGCUGGUGCCUUCUCCCAGGCUAUUGAUGAGCAUGAGCUCUCAGCUCCUGGCCCUGCUCCUGGUCCUGCUCCAUUCUGGCUGCCUGUGGAAAUGAUGAAGACAAUCCCUGUUCAAGAUCAGCGGUGGAUUGCUUCUACUUUGUUCCAUGCUGGCAAGCUGCGCCCAGAUGUCAAGCUCUGGUAUGAGCCACCUGUCCCCUCCCUGAUUUAUCAUCAGGCUCCAA
ensembl:lncRNA